rnacentral:lncRNA from 1 species
AGGUAAAGCCACAAACACGUCAUUGAAGUCCAACACCAGCAAACGAGAACAUAUAGUGCACAAAUUAAUAUAAAACAUUGGAACAUUUCAACGAGAAAAACAAAUUUUUGCUGGGAUGAAAUAUUAUGCGCGCUAAAAAUAUGUUCUUCCAUUUAGACACGGGGAUAAGUUCUCCAUAAGCAUUACAAAAUUGCCAUUUAACCAAACAG